rnacentral:lncRNA from 1 species
CAAGGAGGAAGUACUGACUAUAGUAACUAGAAUGUCAGAGAACACUGGUAAAAACGGUCAAACUUCCUUUCACAUAUGUAAGGACAGGAAGUUAGUAUUAAAUAAGAGAUUUAAAAUAUUAUAAACACAAGAGUAAUCAAAAUAAUAAUAGUAAAAAAUAAUAAGAACAAAAUAAUCUUCAACAGGUUUUUCAGAUGUUUACUUGCAUGAUUCUUGAAACUCCACUAAGAGCUCAGGAGCAGUUUGUAUUGCCUUCUUUUAAUGGAGUUUUGGGAACAAAAUUUUCUUUACUUUCAUGAAGAAAAGCCUUUGAAGGAUCAAAGCAAUACCCAGAACUUUAUUCAAUUCCUCCUGAAGUUUUGCUUCACUUUGUUUUCUUUUAGUAAGCUGAGCACGGAGUUUUAACACCUCCGAUUUGAGAUUGCUAUUUUCAUCUUUCAAUUUCACAACAUGCUUGAUUUUUUGCUUUAGAUUCUGAUGACCCAAUAAUUUAGCAUAUGAAUCUCUUAGAUUAUUUAGUUGUUUCUGAGCCACACCAUAUUCAUUCAACAAAGCCUGUUUCUCUGCUUCAAAUGCAUCCUGUUGUAGCUGAAAAGGCUUUGUUUUAUUAUAUAAUUCUUCAUAGAGGAGACGCCAUUUAUUCAUUUCCUCAGUUAAUUCUGCUAUUGAGUUUUCUUUUCCAGCUUUUCUUCCUCCUUCCUCUUCCAGUUGGCUUAAGCAGGUUUUCCACUUGUUCCUCCUUUUGCU